rnacentral:tRNA from 1 species
UGUCCCGUGGUGCAAUGGGUAGCACGGCGGAGUUUGGUUCCGCAGGUUCCUGGUUCGAGUCCAGGCGGGACAG